GCCUGGGUGGCUCAGUGGUUGAGCAUCUGCCUUUGGCUCAGGGCAUGAUCCUGGGGUCCUGGGUUCGAGUCCCACAUUGGGCU
rnacentral:tRNA from 1 species